rnacentral:tRNA from 1 species
GGAAAUGUGGCUUAGUGGUAGAGUACUUGCCUAGCAUACAUGAAGCCCUGGGUUCAAGUCCUCAGUACCA